GAGGCGGACGCGAGACGGGACUAGCGCCACUCCAUUCCACUUCCCUCCCUCGCUUGCCUUCCUUCCUUCCUUCCUAGCGUAGCAUUCCCUAUAGAAACCCUCGAUUCUGAUCGCCGGGAUGAGGUUCUGACCCCCGAUUCGGUCCGUCGAUUGUGAUUUCCCCUCGAUUUCGUGCGGGAUUAGUGGCCGGAAUUAAUCGCCAUGACGGCGUCGUCGCCGAUGGUGCUGUCCCUCCUGCUCUUCGCCUCGCUCACGGCGCUGCUCGUCCUGGCCCCUCGCACGGCGUCGCCGCCGCUGCCGCUGGCCGUGGUGGUUGGGGACGAGGAGGCGCCGCCGGCCGCCGCUGGUGGUGCUGCGGGGAUCAGCGGCGGAGGGGCGGGAGUUGAGGAGGGACCGGAGGACCUCGCGCUAUACCGGCGCGUGACGCUCGACGCCGGCGAGGGCGCGGCGGUGGCGUCCAAGGUGGCGUUCAUGUUCCUGACCAACUCCGACCUCACCUUCGCGCCGCUUUGGGAGCGCUUCUUCGCGGGGCACGCUGACCAGUUCAACGUCUACGUGCACGCAGACCCGGCGGUGCGGCUGCGGCUCCCCCCUACGCCUUCCUUCCGGGGCCGCUUCGUCGCGGCCAAGCCGACGCGGCGCGGGGACCCGAGCCUCAUCGCUGCGGCGCGGCGGCUGCUUGUCGCCGCGCUACUCGACGACCCGGCCAACGCCUACUUCGCGCUGCUCUCGCAGCACUGCGUCCCGCUCCACUCCUUCCCGCGGCUCUACGAGGCGCUCUUCCCGCCCAAGGCCGCGCACCACCACCGCCUCCCGAGCUAUAUCGAGGUGCUCACCGGCGAGCCCCAGAUGCCCGCGCGCUACGUGGCGCGCGGUGACGACGCCAUGCUCCCGGAGGUGCCCUUCGACCGGUUCCGCAUCGGCUCCCAGUUCUUCACGCUGGCCCGCCGCCACGCCGUGCUAGUCGUCCGCGAGCGCCGUCUCUGGCGAAAGUUUAGGGAGCCGUGCCUGCCGGAGUCGCAGGACUCGUGCUACCCGGAGGAGCACUAUUUCCCGACGCUUCUCGACAUGGCCGACCCCGCCGGCUGCACCCGGUACACGCUCACGCGCGUCAACUGGACCGACAGCUUCGAGGGCCACCCGCACACGUAUUCCGCGCCAGAGGUGUCGCCGCGGCUCAUCGCCGAGCUACGCCAGUCCAACAGCUCCACCUAUGAGCACAUGUUCGCGCGCAAGUUCGCGCCCGACUGCCUUGGCCCGCUCAUGGCCAUCGCCGACACCGUCAUCUUCAAAGAUUGAUCGAUGCGGUGCUCUGCAUCAUAGAUACACGUAGGAGGUCUAUCCGUUGAGAGUUGCGCGUGCGAGAAGACGAAAGCAGUGUCGUUAUUCUCCGUUGAAUCUUCACACGGUUCAGACUGGUGCUUUGCCUCUGUGCCCUCCACCGUUCUUCUCCUCCUGGUACUUCUAUGUAGACUUAAGUGGCAACAACCUAAUGCAAAGCGGCAGGUGUUGCAUCUGAUGGCUCGUCAGAUCUCGAUCUGGUUCAUCUCCCAAACGACGCCCCAGCCCCGAGAGGAGCCGCCGCCGCCACCGGGGAACGAGAGGAGCCGCCGCCUGCAGUUGCGGAGGAGCGGAGCUGGCCGGGUUUGCGGGGGAAGCCGGCGCGGGCGAAGCCGGCAGGACGGGCUGCGGGGAAACCGGCAAGCCGGGCGGCGGGAGCCGGCGGCCAGGAAGCGGCAGAAGCCGGCCUGCGUGGGGUGGGAGCCGGUCGAGGCACGAGAGCCGCGCGGAGGCCGGCGCGAGGCUGGGGAGCCCGCAGCCGGAGCGGGGGCGCCCAGGCGGCACAGCGAGGCGGGACCGCGGGAGCAGCGCGGCACCGGGCGGAGCAGGCGGUGACGCAGCGCCGCGGGGGCGCGCACGCGGAGGUGCAGGUGCCCGCGCGCGCGGCGGAGCAGCGAGGGGCCGACGACCACCACAGGUGCGCCUCCCUCUCCCUCGAGACUCCAGCUCCCCAGCGGCCAUCCCUCCUUUUCCCCAAGUCCACGACCACUGCUGCUUCGAGGCCGAGGAGACCAUCGGGUAGCAGCUAGCUCAGGUCGGGGUCACAGUCCAACAAUGCAAGGAGCCAAGGAGGGUGGUCCAGCCGAGAGAAGGAUGUUGCGAGAGGGGAUGAAGCGGCAGUUGCGUGGCCGUGUUGACCCGAGCUGGUUGCUAGAGCGGAUGGAGUGGUGGCUGCACGGAUUCCUUAUUGGAGGUGCCGGUAUGCGCGCAUGCCUUCUUGAUUUUGUACCUGCCUCUUUCCUGACAGGAUUCUGACUCUGCCUCGGCGUUCUUCUACUUUGUGUCUGUUCAGAAUGAUGCACUGAUGCAGGUUUCGUACACAUGCUUUUCUUUUUCCUUCUUCGUAUGCCUAUCUGUGAAUCUUGUGAGCCAUGAUUGGCAUGCUGCUGUGUAUGUCAUUCUGUCACUUAUAUUGAUUCUUGUUGAGGCGCUGCUGCCACCUAAUUUUUUGAAUUGAUGCUAGAAAUAACAAACUAAUACAGAGAGAAUGUACAAAUUUAUUACACAUGAUUGAGGGCGAUAAUCUAUAUAUUUCCUGCAGUACCUUCAUAUCCUCUGCUGCAGCAGAUGCAGAUGGAGCACACCGUGGGAUAUCCCCAUCCACCACGGUCACUGCCGUCAAGGGCUUCUUCAUGGAUCUGGGACGCCAUGGACCUGCAGCUCCUCAAGGUUCUUGUACCCCAACCUCUCGGACCCCUUGAACGGGGAGGCGGCUUCGCUGAUGACGCGCGACAAGAAGGCAUACAACCAGAAAGUCCAAGAAUCUGAUGCGUGACGAUCAGAUGGUCAAAAAAGUGACGUUGUGUGACGAUCGGAUGGUUCUUCAAGCUCCCAGCAUGACGUACUCUCCAUCUCUUGUCUCUUUCGCACGGCAGGGCAGAGGGAUUUGGUCGAGGACCGCAGCGUCGGGGACCCAGGUACAAGCACGUGGCGGCGUGGCGGCAACUGGGAUGCACAUGAGGCUACUGUUCUUCUACCGGUUCACAGCGUCCAUGUGACACCGCCGAGCCCUUCAUUUGCGUCCUCCUGGGAGACCACCAUGCAGCACCAAGGUGAGAAUAUAGAUGAUAGGAGAAUGGGGGAAGAUAUAAAUGCCUUGAGUGAAUAAAUAAAUGGACGAUUCAUGGGGCUUCACUAAUGGAUAGCAUCACACUGUCGCCUGAAAUUGCUUUAGUGUAUACACCCAGGGUGUCAUGGCUUUGGCUGGACGUAAGAACAUGCUUGGAGGUGAUUGGUAAUUUAAGAUUAAUCUUUGUUGCAACAUAGCUUCUUGCCAGGAAUUAUCGGGACAUUUUUACCAAGUAAUUGAUUUUUUUUCUUUGAGCUGCAGUUUGUUAACCAACUAGAUGCACCAUUUUUGACAAAGAAGGCCCCUUACUGUCCAUUUUCUUUGCAUCCUCGUGCGGAUUUUUACACGCCCGUUUUCUGUAGCAGGCGCCUACAUGCUCAUGUUAGAGUUAAUGGAGGAUGAAGUGUGACCGUACUAUCUCCUUGUGUCUACAACGACGUGUGUCAGUACUGUCUCCUUGACCGGCUCCUUAGGCUCUCCCUGUGCGGUAGCGGCUCAAUCUCCGCGGUGCCGUCGAGGAGGGGCUGGGGCGGCCGUGUCUGGUGCGCUCUCGCUACUCAUCGACCUUGCUGUUACUACCUCAUCCUUGAAGCCAUGGGUGGCCUCUAAUUUUCCCUUUGGAGUGUUGAAUGCAAACUGCAAAAGUAGAGCUGGUUGGCUAGCUGUUGAUUUGAUCGGGGGAUAGCAUAUGAAGUGAGUAAACAGAAAGAAAGUGAGUAAACAGAAAGAAAGUGAGCAUCCAAGCAGGAACUGCAAAUGCUCUAUUUUAGUCAAAGCAUGGGAAUGUGCACAAGGGAAAGCUACAGGACCACAAACUAAGUCCCCCUGUCCUACCCUCUCAUCCGCGCAGUUGUCGCCGACUACGCGUGUGCCUCCCGUUGUCACCACUGACUCGCUUUACUUCACCUCUUCAUCCGAGCAGGGGUGGCGAGGGAACAGAAAUGGUCGUGGUGAAAGUCGAUUUAGUGCAUCAAGGAUUGGAGGUUGUGAGAUUUUCAAGAGGUGAUGAAGCACAAUUUGUUAUCGUGCCUUAUAACAUAUAUAGCAGUCGAUGAUGAGUACAAGCAUAAGAUGGUUGGCAAUCUUUAGAGCAUGAGACAUACCUUUGCAGUCUGUAAGAGGAUCAAAUAACAUGUUUUGUUGACAAGGAUGAUUUUGGAAUUUCUAUAUAACAUGCAUGUACAAUAUGUUAACGAAGCUACAUGAAUGCUCGAUGCUCUGUUCAAGACUUCU